GACGAACGCUGGCGGCGUGCUUAACACAUGCAAGUCGAACGGAAAGGCCCUGCUUUUGUGGGGUGCUCGAGUGGCGAACGGGUGAGUAACACGUGAGUAACCUGCCCUUGACUUUGGGAUAACUUCAGGAAACUGGGGCUAAUACCGGAUAGGAGCUCCUGCUUCAUGGUGGGGGUUGGAAAGUUUCGGCGGUUGGGGAUGGACUCGCGGCUUAUCAGCUUGUUGGUGGGGUAGUGGCUUACCAAGGCUUUGACGGGUAGCCGGCCUGAGAGGGUGACCGGCCACAUUGGGACUGAGAUAUGGCCCAGACUCCUACGGGAGGCAGCAGUGGGGAAUAUUGCACAAUGGGCGGAAGCCUGAUGCAGCAACGCCGCGUGCGGGAUGACGGCCUUCGGGUUGUAAACCGCUUUCGCCUGUGACGAAGCGUGAGUGACGGUAAUGGGUAAAGAAGCACCGGCUAACUACGUG
rnacentral:rRNA from 1 species